rnacentral:lncRNA from 1 species
CAAACUUUAUAUUGUACAAGCUUCCCUCCAUUCUUUAAGCAAUAAACUUUUGCUUUGGUGAUAAUCAUAUUCAUCACACUUGUCCUCCACCACCCUCAGCUGACCAACUUAAAUAUAACCCUCCCUUCUUCCUCACAACUCCAGACAAACUUGCAGAUUUCAACACACACACACAGUUCAAACCCACCACAAAACUUAACUCUCGGUAAGUAUUCACAAUCUCACUUUCUGCAUCGUUAAGUUUCACCGCUUAUGUUUUUUCUUGGUUCAGUCUGCAUUUUACCUUCAUAUCUGCUUCAAGAUUUCAAGAAACAUCUGCGAAAAACAAUGUCGUAAAGUAGGCAACAAGAGAAACAUGUCUGCACACUCAAAAUAAGUAUGGAUUACACUAUAGGAAUCAAAAAGUUUCCCAAUGCCAUGGAAACUUAUUACAUACUAGUACUCUGCACACUUAACACAGCAAAAGAUGUUUCGAGCUGAUCAACUUUUGCUCUCUUUCUUUUUUUUUUUUUUUUUCUUGCCAUAUCUAUACCUAUUUCUAAUCUCUCUAAAGGGCAAUCUCCGUUGCCACUGUAUAGCUACACUUAAUAACUAAAGAGUUUUUAGUGUUGAAUCUGUCUGUACAGUAGGCUUAUCUAGCCAAAAAAGAACUUUUUUGGAACAAUGGAUGGCCGUAUCCACGUUCCAUGAAACAAACGAAAAAAUUGGCACACCACGAGAAAAAACACACAAGAAGCAAGGUGAGUAUUAGGAAUUAAAACUCGAGGAUGCAGAUCACAGCGGUUGAUCUUCAGAAGAAAGUGUAGGAUGCUCCGUAGCAUCCUAGAUUCCAAAGGAGAUCAGAUCCUCCCAGGCCCACUCGGAAAAACUAAGGUCGAGAUAGCUGCAAUCCAAGGAUAAAGAACUCCAAAAAGAAUCAAAAAUACUCUACACUUUACGGAAAACCUUCCAACGGUCGGCUGGUGAUUUGGUCAUAGACAAUGGAGAAGGGACCUCUUGCAGGGUGGAGGUUGGGAAGCAUUAGUGACAUGACUAGGAGAGGUAGACUCCAUUCCUAGUGUCUUCAUUAGGAAGUGCUUUUCCUGCAUAAUCAAAUGGUAAAAUGGUUAGUCUAAAAACACUUCCCACCAAAAAACAAUAGGACUCUUUUAGGCCUUUUACAUUCUCUAAAUCUGAAAGAAAAUGAACUAAAACACUUCAAGGCAUGAGUGUCAUCCUCUUGUACUCUAGUAUAGUGGGAAAAACAAAACUAUCGAGGCUGUUUUGAGAAACAAACUGAUAACUUGAAUGAUGUAGAAAAUAUAAUUAGUUUCCAGUUUUAUGAUUAUCAGCUACAGUAGUGUAACCUGUGUGAGGGCGGAGAAAGAUACACCAAAGGGCAAAGAUGUUGUGAGGGAAAAUUAGUGUAUCCAUGUGGCGGUUCAUAACCAGAUUCAAAAUAUUAAACAUCAGAAUCUGAAAUAUUAAUUUUUACAGAUUUGUGAACUGUGUAUCAGUUUAUCCCAUAAUCUAUGCUGUAUACAUGAUAUUUUGAAUGCUUGUUCAAGUACAAAGACUGAAUUGUUUGUCAAUCGUCAUAAAUAGCAAGUUGGUUACCAAUGACACUACCAAUUCAAGUGAAAGACUAAAUUAUUCUGCAUGGAGCAUCAAAUUUUUUACUUCUUAUAAAUAGAAGUGAAUUGAAAUGCUUAGGAUUCUUACACUUUCUGAAAAUUUUGGACUGGGAAUGGUCGCUGCCAAUGCUCCAAACAAGGGAGUCACGUGAAGAGGAGAACCAAACUCUGUGCUAGAAUACUCGCAUAUUACUUCAUCAUUAUCGGUUGUGUUGUUACAAGUUAACAUGUUCACUGCAGUAAUAGAUUUGUUAUGAGCGUCAGAAAAAAAUAUAUAUUCUACCAUCAUCUUAAGAUGGGAUGGUAGCCAAUGAAUCUUGGUGUUAAUUAUGAUACAUUUACUUGUCUGUGUGUAUGUGUGUGUAUAAUAUACCUUCAGUUGUGCUUGCAGUAUGGCAUUUUCGACUUCCUUCAUCAUCGCAAUGCUGAUGAUCUAAUUGAUCUGGCUGCAUUUGAUGUCCAUUUUCCUGAUGCAGCAAGCAGGUUUCAGCUCGACUUUCUUCCGUUUUAUCACCUGGCAUGCUUGGCAGCAGAGUUGAUCCUGCACUGUACUCAGAGCUGGCUGUGGACGACUCAUAUAAAUCAGGUUCCCUGAAAAG